UAUUCGGUGGCCUAUUGGUUAGAACUUCCGCCUCGGAUGCGGGAGGUCGCGGGUUCGAACCCCGGCCGAAUCA